CAGCCGCCGCGGUAAUACGUAGGGGGCAAGCGUUAUCCGGAAUUACUGGGUGUAAAGGGAGCGUAGACGGUUAAACAAGUCUGAAGUGAAAUGCCGGGGCUCAACCCCGGAGCUGCUUUGGGAACUGUAGAACUGGAGUGUCGGAGGGGUAAGCGGAAUUCCCAGUGUAGCGGUGAAAUGCGUAGAUAUUGGGAGGAACACCGGAGGCGAAGGCGGCUUACUGGACGACAACUGACGUUGAGGCUCGAAGGCGUGGGGAGCAAACAGGAUUAGAUACCCGGGUAGUCCCUGUCUCUUAUAC
rnacentral:rRNA from 1 species